UACGGGGGGGGCAAGCGUUGUUCGGAUUCAUUGGGCGUAAAGGGUGCGUAGGUGGCGCCGUAAGUCAGGUGUGAAAUUUCGGAGCUCAACUCCGAAACUGCAUUUGAUACUGCGGUGCUUGAGGACUGGAGAGGAGACUGGAAUUCACGGUGUAGCAGUGAAAUGCGUAGAUAUCGGGAGGAACACCAGUGGCGAAGGCGACUUCCUGGCCUGUUCUUGACGCUGAGGCGCGAAAGCUAGGGGAGCAAACGGG
rnacentral:rRNA from 1 species